rnacentral:rRNA from 1 species
UACACAUGCAGUCGAACGGUGAAGAGAGCUUGCUCUCUGGAUCAGUGGCGAACGGGUGAGUAACACGUGAGCAAUCUGCCCCUGACUCUGGGAUAAGCGCUGGAAACGGCGUCUAAUACCGGAUACGAGCUGCGAAGGCAUCUUCAGCAGCUGGAAAGAACUUCGGUCAGGGAUGAGCUCGCGGCCUAUCAGCUAGUUGGUGAGGUAAUGGCUCACCAAGGCGUCGACGGGUAGCCGGCCUGAGAGGGUGACCGGCCACACUGGGACUGAGACACGGCCCAGACUCCUACGGGAGGCAGCAGUGGGGAAUAUUGCACAAUGGGCGCAAGCCUGAUGCAGCAACGCCGCGUGAGGGACGACGGCCUUCGGGUUGUAAACCUCUUUUAGCAAGGAAGAAGCGAAAGUGACGGUACUUGCAGAAAAAGCACCGGCUAACUACGUGCCAGCAGCCGCGGUAAUACGUAGGGUGCAAGCGUUAUCCGGAAUUAUUGGGCGUAAAGAGCUCGUAGGCGGUUUGUCGCGUCUGCUGUGAAACCCCGAGGCUCAACCUCGGGCCUGCAGUGGGUACGGGCAGACUAGAGUGCGGUAGGGGAGAUUGGAAUUCCUGGUGUAGCGGUGGAAUGCGCAGAUAUCAGGAGGAACACCGAUGGCGAAGGCAGAUCUCUGGGCCGUAACUGACGCUGAGGAGCGAAAGGGUGGGGAGCAAACAGGCUUAGAUACCCUGGUAGUCCACCCCGUAAACGUUGGGAACUAGUUGUG